rnacentral:rRNA from 1 species
ACCAGACUCCUACGGGAGGCAGCAGUGGGGAAUAUUGCACAAUGGGGGAAACCCUGAUGCAGCGACGCCGCGUGAGUGAAGAAGUAUUUCGGUAUGUAAAGCUCUAUCAGCAGGGAAGAAAAUGACGGUACCUGACUAAGAAGCCCCGGCUAACUACGUGCCAGCAGCCGCGGUAAUACGUAGGGGGCAAGCGUUAUCCGGAUUUACUGGGUGUAAAGGGAGCGUAGACGGCAUGGCAAGUCAGAUGUGAAAGCCCGGGGCUCAACCCCGGGACUGCAUUUGAAACUGUCAGGCUGGAGUGCAGGAGAGGUAAGUGGAAUUCCUAGCGUAGCGGUGAAAUGCGUAGAUAUACGGAGGAACACCAGUGGCGAAGGCGGAUUGCUGGACAGUAACUGACGCUGAGGCGCGAAAGCGUGGGGAGCAAACAGGAUUAGAUACCCCCGUA